UAAAAACGACUUCGGAUGGCUUUCUUUACAGAUUAAAACUUGCUGUUAGAAAUCAUACUUUAUCCUAACUUCUAUCUGAAAUUCAAAAUCCAUGUUCCAGCAGAAAUCAAAAGGAAACUUUGUAAUUCUAGAUCUAGUUGUUUUUCUUCUUAAAUCAUCAGGGGAAGGUGUUUUAUUUUUCUAAUUUUCCCGACACGAGAACUCGUCAAAAUGGGUAGAAGAAUCUCUUCUCGUAGUGUUGAGGUAAUCGUCUGCAACUUCACAAAGAAGGAUUUAACUGCAUCAUAGAUUGGUACUAAUUUCAUGAUUCUCAUGGUAUACGAUAUAUUGCUUACAGCCUUGACACAUUUGAAAGAUGUGUGGGUUGUUAGUUGUUUAGAUCUGUUUGCAAUGAGGUUGUUUGUUGAUGAUUCUCCACAAAAGAAGGUUCGAUUUCCAACACUCUCAGGUGAGAAGAAGUUGACACCACAGCCACUGCAGAGGACAGGUUUCUUCUCAGUGCUGGAAUCUAGUAUGUUAUCUCCUAGCACUACAGGUGAAGCUUGGGUUAGCCAAGCAUGGAAAGCCAAUUGGUCUUGACGAGAAGCUCAAGGUUGAUAUGAUAGUUAUUGGUUCGGUUGCCGUUGAUCCAAAGACAGGAGCACGGCUUGGUAAAGGCGAGGGGUUUGCGAUACAUGGGAGCAAUUGAUGACAAUACUCCAGUUGUCACUGAGUAGAACUUUAUGUAGCUACUUCUUAUAUCUUUUCCAUGUCAAAGUAAUGCAUUCAAUUCGGUUCACCUCAUUUUGGAAACCAGUUGAAACGCUGAUAAAAUUCAUGACCUAUAAUCCUACAAUUUCAAAUCAUGUUUAUUUUUAUCGGCCUCUUGACAUGAUUCUUACUCUGUCCUUUCUCCUUUUGUCUCAGUGUUAGUGUCUUGUAGUAUUGUUUUUAUUUAAUAUCUUACUGAUACUGGUUUUGUUUAAAAUGUCUGAUCCUUGGGCUAUGAAGUCUUAUGCUCAUUGGUGCCUGCUGCCGACUUGUUGAGUUAUUGCGUCAUCCAUCUCCUACUGUACUCAUUCCUGCCCUCCGCACGGUUGGCAAUAUCGUCACUGGAGAUGAUCGUCAGACCCAGUGUAUCAUUUAACUUCAACCGCUUCCCUGCCUCAUGAACCUGUGGACACAACCUUAAAAAGAGUAUCAAGAAAGAAGCUUGCACCAAAAACCAGAUUUAGUCCGUGAUAGUUGCUGAUAUUAUUGGUCCUCUAAUCCAUCUCCUUCAAAAUGCUGAGUUUGAUAUCAAAAAGGAAGCUGCUUGGGCAAUCUCAAAUGCAACUUCUGUGGGAUCCCAUGAGCAGAUCAAGUACUUCGUGGAUGUAUCAAACCACUGUGCGAUCUUCUAAUAUGCCCUGAUGCUAGGAUUGUUACUGUCUGUUUGGAAGAUCUCGAGAAUAUUCUGAUAGUUGGUGAGGCUGAGAAGACCAUUGGCAACACUGAUGAUGUGAACUUGUAUGCUCAUAUGAUUGAUGAGGCAGAGGAAUUGGAGAAGAUUGAAAACUUACAGAGUCACGACAACACUGAGAUAUAUGAGCAGGCGGUGAAAAUUCUUGAGACUUACUAGUUGGAGGAGGAAGAUGAAAUGCCUCCUCCAGGUGAUGCUGCCCAAACAGAGUUCCAUUGUGGAGGGACCCAGCCCCAACUUCCUUCUGAUGGAUUUAACUUCGGCCAAAGGUAUACUAUUCUGAUCAGUUGGGCAGCUCAGUUCAUCUUUUUGCUGGUUUUGGUUUAUUUCAUUGUGUGUAGGUUAGUUUCCACCAAUUGUAAGAACAUAAAUUUUUAAGAACUUAAAAUUGGUGUGGAUUCAGUGAUUGUGUAGAAUUUUUUGGGGUUUUGACCCAAGUCUCGGCUCAAUUCACAUGUGAAUUCAGUUUGUACAACAAAUUUCAGAUUUGAAUUCAAUGGUGAAUGUUUUGAUUAGUUUAUGA